UGGGGAAUAUUGGACAAUGGGCGCAAGCCUGAUCCAGCCAUGCCGCGUGAGUGAUGAAGGCCCUAGGGUUGUAAAGCUCUUUCACCGGUGAAGAUAAUGACGGUAACCGGAGAAGAAGCCCCGGCUAACUUCGUGCCAGCAGCCGCGGUAAUACGAAGGGGGCUAGCGUUGUUCGGAAUUACUGGGCGUAAAGCGCACGUAGGCGGACAUUUAAGUCAGGGGUGAAAUCCCGGGGCUCAACCCCGGAACUGCCUUUGAUACUGGGUGUCUAGAGUUCGAGAGAGGUGAGUGGAAUUCCGAGUGUAGAGGUGAAAUUCGUAGAUAUUCGGAGGAACACCAGUGGCGAAGGCGGCUCACUGGCUCGAUACUGACGCUGAGGUGCGAAAGCGUGGGGAGCAAAACAGGAUUAGAUACCCUGGUAGUCCACGCCGUAAACGAUGGAAGCCAGCUGUCGGCAAGUUUACUUGUCGGUGGCGCAGCUAACGCAUUAAGCUUCCCGCCUGGGGAGUACGGUCGCAGAUUAAAACUUAAAUAAUUGACGGGGUCAUAGCUGUUUCCUG
rnacentral:rRNA from 1 species